AUGUUCCUAACCAAUACUGGCGACACUGUGGCUGGAACCAUCGCCAGAACACACCAGGGUGUGGUUGCAUUAGCAUGUGGGCAGCGACUGCAUGCAUGCAAGGACCCAGAAGAAGCUGAAAUGGCUGCUGUUGCACACAGACUCUCAGUAUUAAGCAAAUACUACAGGGGGCCAGUUUGUGUGGAAUCAGACUGUGCUUCAGUCAUCAUAAUGCUGAAUAACAAAGCAAGUAAUCUGUCGGCUCUUUUCCCCCUAGUCAUGAAAGUGAGGCACUUCAUGAAUAUUUUCAAAGAAGUGACCUUCAGUAGCGUGAGAAGAUCCAGCAAUAAACUGGCACAUGAGCUUGCUGCUCUAGGAAGAAGACAGAGAGACCUCUUUAUUUUUGGCGAUGUCCCUCCUCCUUUAAGGAGCAUCCUCAUAGAGGACUGUAAUAGCUCUUCCAUUGUUACUUAA
rnacentral:rRNA from 1 species